rnacentral:lncRNA from 1 species
GGGGGUUUUUUUUUUCUCUGGGGAAUCGGGGAGAGCUAGUUUUUCAAGCUUUUGCAAGGUUACUAGUUCGGUUUUCAUUGGAGGUUUUUGAAGAUCAAGGGGAUUAGAGAAGAGGAGCUUCAUGCUUCAGGUUGGCGAAGGAAAGACAUAGAAUUUGGAUUUUUCUUCUUCGUAGAGUUUUGAGAAGCCUGAGGCAAUCGCUGCUGAAGUCAGUGUUGUAAUGGUGAAUCGGGAUUUUUAAAUGAAGUGGGUUUGAAUACUCUUGACUGUUAUGUAAAAUCGAGUUACGUCUGUGAUUAAAGGAU